GGAAUAUUGGGCAAUGGAGGAAACUCUGACCCAGCGACGCCGCGUGAGGGAUGAAGGCCUUCGGGUUGUAAACCUCUUUCAGUAGGGAAGAAGCGAAAGUGACGGUACCUACAGAAGAAGCACCGGCUAACUAUGUGCCAGCAGCCGCGGUAAUACAUAGGGUGCAAGCGUUGUCCGGAAUUAUUGGGCGUAAAGAGCUCGUAGGUGGUUCGUCACGUCGGAUGUGAAACUCUGGGGCUUAACCCCAGACCUGCAUUCGAUACGGGCGAGCUUGAGUAUGGUAGGGGAGUCUGGAAUUCCUGGUGUAGCGGUGGAAUGCGCAGAUAUCAGGAGGAACACCAAUGGCGAAGGCAGGACUCUGGGCCAUUACUGACACUGAGGAGCGAAAGCGUGGGGAGCGAACAGGAUUAGAUACCCUGGUAGUCCACGCCGUAAACGGUGGGCACUAGUUGUGGGGACCUUCCACGGUCUCUGCGACGCAGCUAACGCAUUAAGUGCCCCGCCUGGGGAGUACGAUCGCAAGAUUAAAACUCAAAGGAAUUGACGG
rnacentral:rRNA from 1 species